rnacentral:rRNA from 1 species
AUGCAAGUCGAACGAGGUCUUCGGACCUAGUGGCGCACGGGUGAGUAACAUGUGGGAAUCUACCUAAAGGUUCGGAAUAACUGCGGGAAACUGUAGCUAAUACCGGAUGUGUCUGAAAAGAGAAAGAUUUAUCGCCUUUAGAUGAGCCCGCACUAGAUUAGCUAGUUGGUAAGGUAACUGCUCUACCAAGGCUACGAUCUAUAGCUGAUUUGAGAGGAUGAUCAGCCACACUGGGACUGAGACACGGCCCAGACUCCUACGGGAGGCAGCAGUAGGGAAUAUUGGACAAUGGGGGAAACCCUGAUCCAGCAAUGCCGCGUGAGUGAAGAAGGCCUUCGGGUUGUAAAACUCUUUCAUCAAUGAUGAUAAUGACAUUAGUUGAAGAAGAAGCUCCGGCUAACUUCGUGCCAGCAGCCGCGGUAAUACGAAGGGGGCUAGCGUUGUUCGGAAUCACUGGGCGUAAAGCGUAUGUAGGCGGAUCAAAAAGUUAGAUGUGAAAUCCCUGGGCUUAACCCAGGAACUGCAUUUAAAACUAGUGAUCUAGAAAUUGGUAAGGGUUAGUAGAAUUUCCAGUGUAGAGGUGAAAUUCGUAGAUAUUGGAAAGAAUACCAGAAGCGAAGGCGACUAACUAGGCCAUUUUUGACGCUGAGAUACG